rnacentral:rRNA from 1 species
UACGGGGGGGGCAAGCGUUGUUCGGAAUUACUGGGCGUAAAGGGCUCGUAGGCGGCCAACUAAGUCGGAUGUGAAAUCCCCAAGCUUAACUUGGGAACUGCAUCCGAUACUGGAUGGCUUGAAUCCGGGAGAGGGAUGCAGAAUUCCAGGUGUAGCGGUGAAAUGCGUAGAUAUCUGGAGGAAUACCGGUGGCGAAGGCGGCAUCCUGGACCGGUAUUGACGCGUGAGGAGCGAAAGCUAGGGGAGCAACGGG